rnacentral:tRNA from 2 species
GGCUCGAUAGCUUAGUUGGUAAAGCGCUCGUCUAGCAUACAAGAGUCCUGGGUUCGAAUCCCAGCCGAGUCA